CCUACGGGGCGCAGCAGUGGGGAAUAUUGCGCAAUGGGCGAAAGCCUGACGCAGCGACGCCGCGUGAGGGAUGAAGGUCUUCGGAUCGUAAACCUCUGUCAGCAGGGAAGAACGGUCACUGUGCUAAUCAGCAGUGAAUUGACGGUACCUGCAAAGGAAGCACCGGCUAACUCCGUGCCAGCAGCCGCGGUAAUACGGAGGGUGCGAGCGUUAAUCGGAAUUACUGGGCGUAAAGCGCUCGUAGGCGGUAUGUCAAGUCAAGGGUGAAAUCCCCGCGCUCAACGUGGGAACUGCCUUUGAAACUGGCAAACUGGAGUGUGUGAGAGGAUGGUGGAAUGUCAGGUGUAGGAGUGAAAUGCGUAGAGAUCUGGAGGAACAUCAGUGGCGAAGGCGACUAUCUGGCACAUAACUGACGCUGAGGAGCGAAAGCGUGGGUAGCAAACAGGAUUAGAUACCCCGGUAGUC
rnacentral:rRNA from 1 species